ACAAACGCUGGCGGCAUGCCUAACACAUGCAAGUCGAACGGACAGAACAGGGAAGCUUUUCGGAGUGGAACUGGAAAGUUAGUGGCGGAUGGGUGAGUAACGCGUGGACAACCUACCUUGUAAAGGGGAAUAACCUCGAGAAAUCGAAGCUAAUACCCCAUAAUAACCUUGCUUCGCAUGAAGUAAGGAGGAAAGGCGGCCUUAGCGCUGUCGAUACAAGAUGGGUCCGCGUCUGAUUAGCUAGUUGGUGAGGUAAAGGCUCACCAAGGCGACGAUCAGUAGCCGGCCUGGGGGGGUGAACGGCCCAAUGGGGACGGAAACACGGCCCAAACUCCCAGGGGGGGCAGCGGUGGGGAAUCUUCCGCAAUGGGGGAAAGCCUGACGGGGCAAUGCCGGGUGGGGGAAGAAGGCCUUGGGGUUGUAAAACUCUGUCCUUAUGGAAGGGGGAGUGUUGUAGUAACUGACAAUACAAGGACGGUAGAUGGGGAGGAAGCCCCGGCUAACUAUGG
rnacentral:rRNA from 1 species